AAUUUUAGUAUAUUUCAAAUUUGUAACCAAAUGAAGUGACAAGAUCUUGAAUGAACAUUUGAUUGAACAUUUGUUAUCUGUCUAGAGAAACAGUUUGAAGCGAAUGAAUUAAGUAUUGCCUAUUGUCUAUAAGUUAAUUGUGUGACCUGAACCCUGUGAGGGAUAUUACUUAUUUUUAUACGCCGGUUUUGAAAAAACGGGAGGUAUUAUAGUUUCACCCUUGGCGGGCGGCGGCGUCCAUAACAGUGUCCACUCUCUAAUUCAAAUAGUUUUCAUCCGAUCUUCACCAAACUUGGUCAGAAGUUCUACUAGACAAUAUCUAGGUCAAGUUUGAAUAUGGGUCAUGCCAGGUCAAAAACUAGGUCACGGGGUCACUUAGUGCAUUUGAAGGAUUUAGCAUUGGUGGCUUUCUAAUUGGAGUAGUUUUCAUCUGAUCUUUGCCAAAUUUGGUCAUAAGUUGUGUGUAAAUGAUAUAUAGGUCAAGUUCAAAUAUGGGUUAUGCCGGGUCAAAAACUAGGUCGCGAGGUCACUUAGAGCAUUUCAUGCAUUUCGCAUGGUGUCUGCUCUCUAAUUGAAGUAGUUUUCAUCCAAUCUUCACAAACUUUGGUCAGAAGUUUUAUCUAGACAAUAUCUAAGUCAAGUUCAAUUAUGGGUCAUGCCGGGUCAAAAACAAGGUCAGGGGUUCACUUAGUACAUUUCAAGGAUUAAGCAUGGUGUCCGCUCUCAAAUUGAAGUAGUUAUCAUCCGAUCUUCACAAAAUUUGGUCAGAAAUUGUGUCAAAAUGUUAUCUAGGUCAAGUUCAAAUAUGGGUCACGCCAGGUCAAAAACUAGGUCACGAGGUUACUUAGUGCAUUUCAAGCAUUUAGCACGGUGUCCACUCUCUUAUUGAAGUAGUUUUCAUCUGAUCUUCAACAAAUGUGGUCAGAAGUUGUAUCUAGACAAUAUCUAGUUCAAGUUCAAAUAUGGGUCAUGCUGGGUCAAAAACUAGUUCACAGGGUGCAUUUCAAGGAUUUAGCAUGGUGUAAGCUCUUUAAUUGAAAGAGUUUUCAUCCGAUCUUCACCAAAUUUGGGCAGAAGUUGUGUCUUAAUGAUAUCUAAGUCAAGUUCAGAUAUAGGUCAUGCCGGGUCGAAAACUAGGUCACUUAGUGCAUUUCCAGCGUUUAGCAUGGUGUCCAAAACCUUCAAACGGGUGUAUCUUGUGACAGUUUAGCACUCUUGUUUAUUACAUUAAAGCCACACACCUUGAAAUGAAAUACAUGUUACUCAGUACAUAUAGAUGCAAUUUGAAAGUGUGCAAAAUUGUCAUUAAAUCUAUAGCCUAGUUAGCAAGUAAUUUAUUUUUUUUUAUUUUAAAACUGAAUGUAUGAUUUGUAUACGUACAUGUUCAAUUCGAGAAACACAAUUAUUUUUAAGUUUUAAAGCACAAGAAAGACGGAUUUCUACCUUGCAACCACCAGAUAUAUUCUAAUUGGCAAAGAUAAAAUAUGUUUCUUAUUUAUAUCCAAAUUUACUAUGCCAGAUAUUUCAUUUCAAGGUGUGUGGCUUUAAGGAAUGUUUUUUAAAUGGGUAUAUUACCAAGAUCUGCACAGCCAGGGUGAUAUUAACCUUCAGAUGUUAAAGCUUUCUAAGAAUUUUAAGGCUUGCCUUUUAUACUUGAAAUGAUAAAUCAUUAACAUGUUUUGUUCUUUAGGAACAUACAAACAUUUCCCACCCACCAUGUGGAUCAAGAUGUUUGGGCUGAUGAUUCUGGGUCGUAUGUGUGGACAAGGUGGUCUUCAUUACAUCAUGAUGCAGCUGUGUAUUCAACAACAUGUUAACCUGUCCCAGCGGAUGUUGAUGCUCUUAAAUCUCUUAAAUGAUGUUGAGAAAAAUCCAGGACCGGAGUAUUCGUGCAAAUGGAUAUCCUGCAAGGAAGACUUCCACUCCAUAGGACAGCAAGAUGCACAUAUCAUCUCUCAUGUGGUUCAAGAGAAAUGCUGUAGAUGGGGAGACUGUUCCAAAGUCCUGAGCUUUAAUAGUCUUGAAAACCAUGAACUUAAACAUCUCUAGGAUGUGAGUUUAGCACUGUGUAUGAACUGGUGUUGCUUCAUUUUCUGCAUAUCUUUAUCUCAGUCUUCUCUAGUUUUGAUGGUCAAAUACAUAUUGUCUGCCAGUUUUUUCCCCCAAUACUGCCGUUCAUCGUUUGCUUGCAUCAAGAGUUUUAAAAGAAAUUAAAACUCAUUUGUUUAGUUAGAAUCUUAUGAAAGACUUAAAUGGCCAUGUUUAAUACAAUUGUAUAACAACAUAUAUGAGCUAAAAAAAAUAGUUGGAAUAAUUAAUGUUUAUAUGAACAUAACAAAUUUGCUUAAAAUCAUAGGUCUUGUUUUUGUCUGCCACUAUAAGAACCAGAACAUAUUUCGGACAUUCGAGGAUUGACUUGCUGUGUUAGAGGAUCAUCAGGUGAUGGAAGAAACCAGGCUUUUUUCGACUCAAUGUUGAUGAAACCUGAUCGACAUGCUCAUCUUGGUUGAGUAAGCCUGGGUUGAGUGUUUCCAAAAAGUAGGUAACCUGGUGAAAUCUUAGGAAAACAUUGUAACCAGAUCCAGGUUUAUUUGACUGACAGACCGAUGGACAGUGGGUCAACCGUAAAUCCCUUCAUGUGAAAACGGUAGGGACAAAAUAAAUAUCACAUUGCUCUUCUGAGUUCAUUUGAAAACCAAGUUUUAUCACAAAAUUAAAAUGGUCAAUGUAUUAUUUUGUGUAUUUAAAAAUUAUGUGAAUAUUAAGUUUCAUGAAAUCUUACUGAGUUUUCUCAAUUUUAGCUACUAUUCGGACAUGGACUGACGGAGAAAUGGGCAACAAUGUCGCAAUUUGUAUACCAAGUUUUAUAAGAAUUGUUUCAUAAAAGUAACCAAUGUGUCUGUUCUAUGUCAAGGUAACUACUAGGAUGAAAUACACAAAAAGAUUUUGGUUCACAAUAGGGUAGGCUCCGCGUGCCGUGAACCGGGCAACAGCUUUUGUCAUUUAACAUUUGUUAUAAUGGCAUAAGCUGGCAGAUACCCUUUAACUUUAACGAUGUUUUCCGAUAAUUUCUCGGAAAAUACAACCUAGCAAUUUUUAUUUAAUUUAGAUUACUAAAAAUUAAUAUUAUAUUUAUGCCCCCCUUGGAAGAAGAGGGGUAUAUUGUUUUGCACAUGUCAGUUGGUUGGUCCACCAGAUGGUUUCCUGAUGAUAACUCAAGAACGCUUUGGCCUAGGAUCAUGAAACUUCAUAGGUUUAUUGAUCUCGAAAUAGUAAAAUGGUUUCCGGAUGAUAACUCAAGAACGCUUAUGCCUAGGAUCAUGAAACUUCAUAGGUACAUUGAUGAUGACUCGGAGAUGACAUCUAUUGAUUUUCAGGUCACUAAGUCAAAGGUCAAGGUCACAGUGACUCGAAAUAGAAAAAUGGUUUCCGGAUGAUAACUCAUAAAUGCUUACGCCUAGGAUCAUAAAAUAAAAAAAUCAUUGGUACAUUGAUAAUGACUGGCAGAUGACCCCCUUCAUAGGUACAUUGAUAAUGACUGGCAGAAGACCCUUAUUGAUUUUCAGGUCACUAGGUCAAAGAUUAAGGUCAUAGUGACUCAAAACAGUUUAAUGGUUUCCUGUUGAUAGCUCAAGAAUACUUAGGUCUAUGAUCAUGAAACUUCUCAAGUACAUUGAUCAUGACUGGCAGAUGACCCCUAUUGAUUUUCAGGUCACUAGGUCAAAAGUCAAGUUCACAGUGACAAAAACGUAUUCACAAUGGCUGCCACUACAACUGACAGCCCAUAGGGGGGGCAUGCAUGUUUUACAAACAGCCCUUGUUCUGUGUUAAAAUUAUGUACACGUCUGCGUUAAAUAAAUAUGUUCACAUUUGAAAUAAAGCUAAAAAUGUG